ACAGAGGUCUCAAGCGUUAAUCGGAAUUGCUGGGCUUAAAGGGUCCGCAGGCGGUCUGACAAGUACCUUGUGAAAUAUCAGGUCUCAACCCUGAAACUGCUCGGUAGACUGUCAGACUUGAGUGCAAAAGGGGUCGCUGGAACUCUAGGUGGAGCGGUGAAAUGCGUAGAUAUCUAGAGGAACGCCAAAGGUGAAGACAGGCGACUGGUUUGCAACUGACGCUCAUGGACGAAAGCGUGGGGAUCAAACGGGA
rnacentral:rRNA from 1 species